UUGUCAUGGAGCGCAAGAAUGAAAACAAAGACAAGCAAAACAUAACAAAAGAGAAACAAGCAAGCAUGGCAACAUAGUGAUAAUAAUAAAAAUCAGAAAUACAACUAUAUACAAGCAAACUGUUUAUAUGAGAGUAAAUCUUAUUAAAUACACAGAACAUAGUGACACACUCAAAUCCAUUCAUCUUCUCUGUUGCCCACACCAGGCUUUCUAGUUUUUGUAGCUUCACUAUAUAGAACAUUUCAAUGUAAGCACACACCUUGCAGAGACCCCACGUGGUGCACAUAACAUAAGGCUUUGUGAUGGCUUUCUGGAUCAGCCAGCUACCUUUAUCCCUUUAGAAGCAGGAACAUGUCACUCAUGUUAUCCAUCCAUUGAUUAUUUUGAACCUGCACACUCCAGUUAAGGAUGGUAAGGUGUGCCAGUGUAUCUCAGCAGCUUCAGGAGCAACACGUCUCUGGAGGAUGUAAGACUUAAAACUAGAGGAUCUGGAGAAAACCCA